rnacentral:tRNA from 1 species
GGAGGAGUGGCAGAGUGGUUGAUCGCGGUCGCCUCGAAAGCGACUAUACCUUAACGGGUAUCGGGGGUUCAAAUCCUCCCUCCUCCG